UCAUGACGACAUCAAGACGGCCCAGUCAACCCUGUUGUUGGUCCUUCACUGGUAACAGUGCUGGGAAAGGCCUUUCAUGUUCAGAGUGGCUCAGCCUUGUGGGCUCAUAAGAAAGAAGGAAAAUAAAAUUGUCUCAUAACAAUCCUCCCUGACCUCAGGCCACCAACCCUGUUGGGGUGUCAGUGAGUGGGGUACCAGGAAAGCCAAUAUAUCAGAAUCAGAGUGCAUUUUCCAGCCAAUGCAUCCUCCCUCAUUCUUUUUCAAACAGUACCAACUAACAGGACCAACCGUCCAGGUUUGCCACCAAAAGUCAGUCCCUCAUCCCCAAGCACACAGGUGUGAUAGAUCACCCUUCCCACAACACACAUUGAUGAAAGUCACCACAAGGUGACAUAGUGGGGUGACUGAGGGUAUGUGCCUGGCAUCAGCUACUUGAGCCAAAAAGGAGGUUACUAGAGGGCUGGCUGGAAGGUUGAGAGGCAGAUAUCUGCCCACUCAUGGAUUCAUAUCAUCCCUCUAACUCAGAUCUCCUCUGUUUUCAGGUCAGAGAAUAUGGAAAACAACUGGAAGGAGAUUUACACAUAUGUGAAUGAAAUGGUGAAGAAAUACACAAACCCCAAACUGCGGAUGUCCUUUGUCACCUACUCCACACAUGGCCAAACCCUCAUGACGCUCACCUCAGACAGAAAUACAAUACGGAAAGGUCUUACCAAACUUCAGAAUAUAGUGCCUUCAGGAGACAUAAACAUGCAGGAAGGAAUGAAA